CCUACGGGGGGCAGCAGUGAGGAAUAUUGGUCAAUGGCCGAGAGGCUGAACCAGCCAAGUCGCGUGAGGGAAGACGGCCCUACGGGUUGUAAACCUCUUUUGUCGGGGAGCAAAGCGAACCACGUGUGGUUCAUUGAGAGUACCCGAAGAAAAAGCAUCGGCUAACUCCGUGCCAGCAGCCGCGGUAAUACGGAGGAUGCGAGCGUUAUCCGGAUUUAUUGGGUUUAAAGGGUGCGCAGGCGGAGGUGCAAGUCAGCGGUCAAAUUGCGGGGCUCAACCCCGUACUGCCGUUGAAACUGCAUCCC
rnacentral:rRNA from 1 species